ACCUGGCUGGCUCAGUUGGUAGAGCGUGUGACUCUUGAUCUCAGAGUUGUGAGUUUGAGCCCCACGUAGGUC
rnacentral:tRNA from 1 species